rnacentral:rRNA from 1 species
UACAGAGGUCUCAAGCGUUGUUCGGAUUCAUUGGGCGUAAAGGGUGCGUAGGCGGCGCGGUAAGUCGGGUGUGAAAUUUCGGAGCUUAACUCCGAAACUGCAUUCGAUACUGCCGUGCUUGAGGACUGGAGAGGAGACUGGAAUUUACGGUGUAGCAGUGAAAUGCGUAGAGAUCGUAAGGAAGACCAGUGGCGAAGGCGGGUCUCUGGA